AGUGAGGCUUCCGGACCGUCCAGUGGAGAUCGGCAACGAUCACCACCGGAUGGAAAGCUAGUCAAACUUGGUCAUUUAGAGGAAGUAAAAGUCGUAACAAG
rnacentral:rRNA from 1 species